AGCGAACGCUGGCGGCAGGCUUAACACAUGCAAGUCGAGCGGGCACUUCGGUGUCAGCGGCAGACGGGUGAGUAACACGUGGGAACGUACCCUUCGGUUCGGAAUAACGCUGGGAAACUAGCGCUAAUACCGGAUACGCCCUUUUGGGGAAAGGUUUACUGCCGAAGGAUCGGCCCGCGUCUGAUUGGCUAGUUGGUGGGGUAAUGGCCUACCAAGGCGACGAUCAGUAGCUGGUCUGAGAGGAUGAUCAGCCACACUGGGACUGAGACACGGCCCAGACUCCUACGGGAGGCAGCAGUGGGGAAUAUUGGACAAUGGGCGCAAGCCUGAUCCAGCCAUGCCGCGUGAGUGAUGAAGGCCUUAGGGUUGUAAAGCUCUUUUGUCCGGGACGAUAAUGACGGUACCGGAAGAAUAAGCCCCGGCUAACUUCGUG
rnacentral:rRNA from 1 species